GGUGGUUGGAUGGCGGCGCUCCUAGCGCGCAAGCCGCACCGUCCGACGCGGAUGCAGUUACGGGAGCGCAGCGCGACCCAAUGCAACUCGACGAACGUCGCAUAUCCGGAGCCGGAUCAAACGUCGAGGCCUGGGCAAGUGAAAUCGUAAGCGACGAGACGCGAGAAGAUCGCGAUUAAUUUGGAAGAAAAUGUCAAGGAAGAUGCGCGGCGAGCGCGGCUACCGGCUCGACGCGAGAGUGGCGAGCCGCUACCAACCAUUCUGAGAGGACGGAGCAGCGAGCGCAUCGUCGAACGUCGCGCAAGAAGGAAGUGCAACCCGUGAUUCUUCCUGCCGUGAGAGUAACGUCCGAUCGAGUGAUCCGCUCGAGAGGAGGUCGGACGAAAGGAUCGGAGGGGUGAGGGUGAAAGGCAAAAUCGGUCGAAGCGAAAGAAAAGCAAAAGAGGAAGUAAAAGGCAGGACCCGCCGGCGGCGACAGACUGCACUCUCGCACCGUUCAGGGCGCAAGCGUGCACGUAUGUUGUGCGUUUCCGUGCCCUAACCCUGUCUCAACACGAGAGAGUAGUCGUUUCUCGGCGUUCUCAUCCCUACUCCACCAAUAUCGCCGCCGUUGCCGCCACCGUUAUCGCCACCGCCACCGCCGCCGUUACCGCUACCGUUACCGCUGCCGCUGCCGCCACCGACACCGUCACCGACGCUGCUGCUGCUGCUAUCGGCUCACCAUCCCUCCAACGCUCGCGAAGAAGCACCGCCAGAGCCGACGUAACGACGACGACGACGACGACGACGACGACGACCACAACAACAACAACAACAACAA
rnacentral:misc_RNA from 1 species